GCUGGGUGUGGUGGCACCAGCCUGUAGUCCCAGCUACUCAGGAGGGAGGCUGAGACUGGAGGAUCACCUCAGCCCAGGAGUUCUGGGCUGUAGUGCACUACGCCAGGUGCACAAUGCCCUGAAUUUGGCAUUGAUAUGGUGACCUCCCAGGAGCAAAGGACCACCAGGUUGCCUAAGAAGAGGUGAACUAGCCCAGGUUGGAAAUGAAACAGGUCAAAACUCCCAUGCUGAUCAGCAGUGGGAUCAUGCUGUGAAUAGCCACUGAGCUCCAGCCUGGACAACAUAGCUAGACCCCGUCUCU
rnacentral:SRP_RNA from 1 species